rnacentral:lncRNA from 1 species
CUGGGUGGCCCCAGUGCUGGUACCAUGUGCUGGCUUCACCUUUUAAUAACAGUGUGACCUUAAACAAGUCGCUUAACUACUCUAAGUUUCAGUUUCUUUCAUGGUCUAAAUGGAGAUUAAAACACACACACACACACACACACACACACACACACACACACCCCCUCGUGUAUCUACCCCACAGGGCGCUUUUGAAGACCAAAUGCUGUAACUACUAUGAAAGUGCUUUGUAAAUUGCUGUGGAAAGUGUGAGCUACUCAAGCACCCGAGGCUGUCCCUCCUUGCUCACAUGUCCAGCCCAAUUCUCCCUUAGUGAGAACAGCACUCAGUAGGUGCUGUGUGUGUUUGUGUUCAAUUAAGAAAUUCCAGAAUAAAUAAAAAUGAAUUAAUUCAACAAACAUUUUCUGGGGCACCGACAAUCUGCCCAGUGCACCAGGCUAGGUAUCUGAUACAAAGAUAAUGAAAACAGUCUCUUGGAACCUAAUUGGGGUCCUCAUUUGACCAGGAAUUUCUUUCGUCCCGUUUUAAGCCAACCAGUUUUGUCCGGACAAGACAAAAACAACUUGGGCUGCUUUAGAGAAGCCCAGCUCAGUGUAGACAAUAGCUGCCCAGCCUCUGAAAGGGGCUGAUUGGAUUAUGUGGCAAAUGGAGGUGCAAGGAUGACUUGGACGGUGACAAAUGAAGUGGGCGGAGACCUGCUUUGAGUUAAUCCAGGCUAUUAGGAGGGGACCUUUUGUCUUCCAGAGACUGGCAGGAGCUUUUACCAGUGGUUUUUACAUCCUUAAUGUUCAGGACGAAUAAUUUAUGGUCAGUGAAAAUCCAGGCCCCAGUGAGAUUCGAGUGGGCUGUAAAAUCGAGAGUCCUGCUCCCACCAAGCUUCUUGAAAGGCCUGUCUACACUUGCUGUCUUCCUUCCUCACCUCCAAUUUCCUCUUCAACCCACUGCUUCCUGACUCGCUCUACUCCGUGGAAGCACGCUCACAAAGGGCUAAUCUCGGGCCUUGUCGAAGGAAGAGGCUGCAGACGUUAAUGAGGUUAGCUGCUGGAUUCCAGUAUUCGUCGCAUAAGGAUCCUUCUUUGUCUGCGAAGGAAAAACACACUGAUUAUCAUAAUGAGGUGAACUGGCCACCGCCGGGCCGGGGCGAUGUGGCUUCUUAAGCCACACUUCUAAUUUUGGUGAUGGAGCCGACAUUUCUUUGGCUUCUCAUUUAAGUCUUUGCCUCUGUCCCAGUGCGAAGUCCAUUCAGCGGGGUUGAAAGUUGCAGGCAGCUUUGGGAAGGGGGGCGUCGGACAGGGUUGCAUUGUAGAAAGUGGCUUUGUUCGAUCCUUCGCACAGAUGCAAAUGGCCAGAGCAUUCAUUCCCUUUCUUCAAGAGCUGAGGACUGGGGGGGCCACUGGUGAUCAGUUCCCAACUCUAGCUCUCCUCUGACUCAUCUCAGGACCCAUUGAGGACAUCCAAAACUCACUCAAGAUCACCAAGUGGUAGGAAAGUACUAACUCCUGGGCAUAGCCCUAGGGGAGUGACUACAAUGUGAAUACUCAUGGAAUGCCUAGCCAGGUGAAGAAGUGAAUGCAUGUUGGCAUCCCAGAGGGACCCCCCUUAAGAGGGCAUAGUUUGGGGUUCAGAUUUGACUCCAGCAUACUGUUGAAAUUGGGCACAGGGGGCUAGUGAUUAGUCAGGAUCAAUCAGUGGAGAGGAGAUUAAAACUCACAUCUGGGAGUCCGGAAUCAGAACUUGUAGUUCUUUUUUUUGAAAUGGAGUCUCGCUCUGUCGCCCAGGCUGGAGUGCAGUGGCGUGAUCUCGGCUCACUGCAACCUCUGCCUUCCGGGUUCAAGCAAUUCUCCCACCUCAGCCUCCUGAGUAGCUGGGAUUACAGGCGCCCACCACCACAGCCGGCUACUUUUUGUAUUUUUAGGAGAGACGGGGUUUCACCAUGUUGGUCAGGCUGGUCUUGAACUCCUGACCUCAUGAUCCACCUGCCUUAGCCUCCCAAAGUGCUGGGAUUACAGGCGUGAGCCACCAUGCCCAGCCCUAUAGUAGUUCUUCUUUUGCCCCUUAAUAUCUUCACCCACAUGUCCUGUACCCUGCCUGAACCCUCCUCCUCUUUUUGUUCUGAUCUUUGAGCUCCCUAGAGCCCAUAAUUCUUUAGAGCAGGUAUGUCCCGAGUCUGAAACAUGCCCUUAUUUGUCCCAAGCUCUGGACAUUUCUCACCCCAAGGCGGAUCAAUCAUGAUUAAAUCACUCCAAUUAAACUUUAGGCUCCAGUCAGACCUUCAGCCAAAUGGAAAAAAAAACUAGGGGAUAAGGGAGGUAGUUGGAGCAAGAAAAUGUUAUUAGUUGAAACCUUACGGGACCUUCCUCCCUUAGUGAGUCUGUUGGCUAAAGGUUCUCUGGCUUCGUGAAUUAGAAUCGGAUACUGUUUCCAAGUUAGCAAAACCAACUCUACCCCAGCACCCCACGAGGAAGAAUGUGGAAGGAUCUCCCAUUGGCCGGUUGGGGCAAAAGCCUGAGGCAAUCUUUCAUCCCCUUUUGCCAAGGCGAGACUUUCCCAGUGACGGUGAUGUAGUUGGCCACUCUGACUAUGGGUGGACUCGGGUGUAGACCUCUGAAGCUGAGAUCACACGAAAACCUGGCCUCCCCGCCAUGUAGCUGUUGGAGAGUAGAAAAAUAGAGCACGCCUGAUGUUUCUAAAUGAGAAGACUUUCAAUAGUAAUGAAGAAUCCAUGGCACUCUCCUCACCCUCAAACACAUGGCAGUCAUUCACAUACAGGCCCCAAAGCCACUGUUAGUGCUGCAGUAGCUCCUGUGGACAUUGGAAAGCCCGGAGAGGGCGUGGAAGAAAUCAGCUGGCCCCCGGCAGGUUCUCUGGGGUUUUGUGCCCAAGGCUCCUGGAGCCCUAAAAACUUUCAAAAGUUAACUCCCCACGUCCCCAUCCUGCUUGGGUUUCUGGACUUUUCUGAGGCACCGGCAGAGGGGUCUCGUUGCUCCCUUGAGUGUAGGGGCAGCCCUUUAACCUGGCUCCUUGAGUCCCUGCUUUUUCUGCUUCUGUUGCCUUCUUCCUCGUCUUCCUCUCUCUCAAUAUCUCCCUCUCUUUGUCCCUCCCCAGUUCCUGACCUGGCCAUCCCGGGGUGCCCUUGACCAGCCCCGUGUCUCCUCAGGGUGUCCCAGCACCAGCCUGGCACAGAGUGGGGCUCAGUUAGAGUAUGUGGGAUGUUGGUUUCGCCAGGUGAGUGAAUGAAAGGACUCGACCACCACAGCUGAGCCACUAGCUGGGCCAUGCGAAGAGUUCUAGGUGCAAAGGCUGGAGGGUGGAAUUCAUUUUUGAGAGGUGUGUGAGCAGCUUCCGACCCCUGCCCCAUUUGAACGGGGGCCUUGCUGGUCGCGUCCCUGCAUUCACCCGCGCGGCCAUCCCGUCAUCCAACAGUUGAUCCUAACUGAGCACGCCCACGGCCCUGGUCUGGCCUGGGCACCGGCCACCGUAGCCCAUCCCUUGAUGGCCUCUGUGUCCCCAGGAGGGCGGGCCGGGGGGUUGCCCAGGGGCUGGAGCAGUGGACUGUGGCUCCAUAGAGGUAGGCCGGAGGGUGUGAGGGCAGAUUCAAGCUAUCCCCAGGGCUCUGCUCUGGUCGGAGCCAGCCCCUUCUCCCUCUCUGCCUUCCCCGCCCCAUUCCUGAUGCUGAACUGUUCUGGACCCCUGGCCCUGAGUCUCUCAGGACCAAAGUGGGCACGGGAACAGCUGUAGUGUGUGCCCCCCCGGGCUUUGGCCACAGGUCUCCCUCUCGAGGUGUGGUUGUGACUGCGACCCUUCCCUUGCCGUGAUGCCUUCCUCCCCCGGGGCUUGGUCCAGCUCCUUCACUCUCUAGCAGCUGCUGGGGCCCACCUCCCAUGCCGAGGACCAGCAGGGGAAACCUCCAGGGAGCAUCUGCAGGCUCUGCUUCUGCCCGGCUGCUGGCUUGCUCUCCCUGGUGGCUCUCCAGCGGCCAGCUUCCUCACCCACCCGGCACUCCGCUUUGCUCUGUCUCCUGAGGUGGGCCUGACCAACCUCCCCUUCUCUGCCUCAGUCCCUGGGCUCCAGGGCUCAGCUCCACAGCCCUCUGCCUAGCAGGCUGGUUCUCCCUGCCAAGCCCAUACCUGUGGUCACCUGGCCCUCCUGUGGUCUGAGUACCACUCCCCUGCCCCAGGAGCCACUCCCACUCCAGCUGCCUGUUUCCAGCAGGUUCCCAGUGCCCCCGACAAGCCCCUGCUGGUGUCUCCAUCUCCUGCCAAGCAUCCUCCAGUGCCUCCUCCUGUGGGCCUGGCCUCAGGGCUAUGGACAGACUCCUGUCCCAUCCCAGAGACCCCUCGUGAUCGUGCCCUGGCACGUGGGCCGUGGCCCGGCUGGGUCGGCUGAAGAACUGCGGAUGGAAGCUGCGGAAGAGGCCCUGAUGGGGCCCACCAUCCCGGACCCAAGUCUUCUUCCUGGCGGGCCUCUCGUCUCCUUCCUGGUUUGGGCGGAAGCCAUCACCUGGAUGCCUACGUGGGAAGGGACCUCGAAUGUGGGACCCCAGCCCCUCUCCAGCUCGAAAUCCCUCCACAGCCACGGGGACACCCUGCACCUAUUCCCACGGGACAGGCUGGACCCAGAGACUCUGGACCCGGGGCCUCCCCUUGAGUAGAGACCCGCCCUCUGACUGAUGGACGCCGCUGACCUGGGGUCAGACCCGUGGGCUGGACCCCUGCCCACCCCGCAGGAACCCUGAGGCCUAGGGGAGCUGUUGAGCCUUCAGUGUCUGCAUGUGGGAAGUGGGCUCCUUCACCUACCUCACAGGGCUGUUGUGAGGGGCGCUGUGAUGCGGUUCCAAAGCACAGGGCUUGGCGCACCCCACUGUGCUCUCAAUAAAUGUGUUUCCUGUCUUAACAAAAACUGA